rnacentral:rRNA from 1 species
GACGAACGCUGGCGGCGUGCCUAAUACAUGCAAGUCGAACGAAGCUGUUUUAACUGGUGCUUGCACCGACUUAAACAACUGAGUGGCGGACGGGUGAGUAACACGUGGGUAACCUGCCCCAAAGCGGGGGAUAACAUUUGGAAACAGAUGCUAAUACUGCAUAAUCACAGAAACCACAUGGUUUCUGUGUCAAAGAUGGGUCCGGCUAUCCCUUUGUGAUGGCCCCGCGGCGUAGUAGCUAGUUGGUAAGGGAAUGGCUUACCAAGGAAAUGAUAAGUAGCCGAACUGAGAGGUUGAUCGGCCACAUUGGGACUGAGACACGGCCCAAACUCCUACGGGAGGCAGCAGUAGGGAAUCUUCCACAAUGGACGAAAGUCUGAUGGAGCAACGCCGCGUGAGUGAAGAAGGUUUUCGGAUCGUAAAACUCUGUUGUCAGAGAAGAACGUGUGCGAGAGUAACUGUUCGUGCAGUGACGGUAUCUGGCCAGAAAGCCACGGCUAACUACGUGCCAGCCGCCGCGGUAA